rnacentral:rRNA from 1 species
UAGGGAAUAUUAGAAAUGGACGAAAGUCUGAUCUAGCGACACCGCGUGUGCGAUGAAGGCCUUCGGGUUGUAAAGCACUUUUUGGAAGGAAUAGGAAGGAAGGUACUUCCAGAAUAAGUCUCGGCUAACUACGUGCCAGCAGCCGCGGUAACACGUAGGAGGCAAACGUUAUCCGGAUUUACUGGGCGUAAAGCGCGUGUAGGUGGUUUUGUAAGUAGGGCGUGAAAGCUCCCGGCUCAACUGGGAGAGGCCGUUCUAAACUGCAGAACUAGAGGAUGGUAGAGGGAGGUGGAAUUCCAGGUGUAGCGGUGGAAUGCGCAGAUAUCUGGAGGAACACCAGUGGCGAAAGCGGCCUCCUGGACCAUUCCUGACACUCAGACGCGAAAGCUAGGGUAGCAAACGG